AGAACACAGGAGUGUGGGCCACCCCAAAGUCCUUUUAAUGAGAUACUCACAUGGGCCUGAACUUGGGGGGACUCAGAAGACACCAGCAACAAGGAACACUAUGAAUUGUUUUUUGUUGUUGUGGUUUGGGUUUUGUAUUAUCUUCUGUGCCAGGAUUUGGAACGCUUGCCUCUGAUUCAGCUCUCUCCCGACUUUUGACAGCUCGACCGUGAUACUUGCGACUGGUUUAUCUGCUUAACCAAAUUUCUUUUAGAGUCGUGACGGAAAUCUGUGACUGAACAGGGCAGCACUGAGCUACAUGAGUCUAAAUUUUGGAGUCAAGAUGAGUCUCAGGCAAGAGCUUGGCUGCUUUGGAAACUGCAUCCUGUAUCUUACCCCUCAAGCAUCUUAAUGUCAGACUGAGCUUGAAUGAGACUCUACCCCUGUGAGAAGGGCAUGAGAUACUGUCUAACUGGUGAGGUCAUUGUGGAGUUCACAUUUUAAAAACACAUGUACAUGGACUGGAUCUAUAUACAUGGCUCAUCUAUUAAGAGCGCUUACUGCUAUGCUAAGAAUAGUUCCUCGCUCCGAUACCAGACAGCUCAUGCAACUGCUUGUAGUUUGUAGUUCUGGUUUCUUUGGGUCCAAUGCCCAUUGGCCUCCACAGGAGCCAGAACAUACGUGCCACACAGAAACUCAUUCAAGGGUGUGUGAGUACGGGUUGGGAGCACACAUACAAACACUCAAGUAAACAAAUUUCAAACC
rnacentral:lncRNA from 1 species